GACGAACCGUGCGAACGUUGUUCGGAAUCACUGGGCUUAAAGGGCGCGUAGGCGGGCUGCCAAGUCUGGGGUGAAAUCCCACGGCUCAACCGUGGAACUGCCUCGGAUACUGGCGGUCUCGAGGGAGGUAGGGGCAUGCGGAACUGUGGGUGGAGCGGUGAAAUGCGUUGAUAUCCACAGGAACUCCGGUGGCGAAAGCGGCGUGCUGGACCACAACUGACGCUGAGGCGCGAAAGCUAGGGGAGCAAACAGG
rnacentral:rRNA from 1 species